rnacentral:rRNA from 1 species
UACAGAGGGGGCAAGCGUUAUUCGGAAUUAUUGGGCGUAAAGGGCGCGUAGGCGGCUUUGCAAGUGGCGGGUGAAAUCCCUCGGCUUAACCGAGGAUCUGCCUGCCAGACUGUGAGGCUUGAGACCGGGAGAGGUGAGUGGAAUUCCCAGUGUAGCGGUGAAAUGCGUAGAUAUUGGGAGGAACACCAGUGGCGAAGGCGGCUCACUGGACCGGAACUGACGCUGAGGCGCGAAAGCGUGGGGAGCAAACAGG